UCUUAAUACGGAUACGGCAGCGUAGAGCCAAAUUUUGCAAAGAUUACACAUCAAUGCAGCGGUUGAUGUCACUUAUGCAAUUGAUGUGGAUUUAUUAACAAACCUAUAAAAGCUGAGCUUCGCAGGGAAUCCUUUACAGUUGGAAAACAAAUUCAAAGCAUAAACAUGAAGCUCUCACUAAUCUGCUUGAUCGUACUUGGAGUGGCGCUCACAGCUGAUGCUUUUGCCCCGCCAGCUAAGGGAGCCACUGACAAGACUCCACCAGCCUAAUUCCGUUCCCAAAGGGGCGCCACGGAUUAAAGAAAGUUCAACUAUUUUGGCGUGCUUUCAUCAUUCAGAUGUGUCUUAAAUGUGGUCACAAAAUAAAUUUAAAAAAAAAAUUCACUCAAAAUGUCUUUAUUGGUCCACCUUUGUAUAUUUCCUAACAAUAUUUUAAAGAAGUUUGAACAUUCGAUAUCGAUUGUAUCGAUAAAAA